CCAAUAGCGUAUAUUAAAGUUGUUGCAGUUAAAAAGCUCGUAGUUGAAUUUCGGGGUCAGUAAGUUGGUCGUGCCACUGGUAUGUACUGGCUUUACUGAUUCCUCCUUCUUGUAGAACCGUAAUGCCAUUAAGUUGGUGUUGCGGGGAAACAGGACUGUUACUUUGAAAAAAUUAGAGUGUUUAAAGCAGGCUAACGCUUGAAUACAUUAGCAUGGAAUAAUGAAAUAGGACGUUCGAUCCUAUUUUGUUGGUUUCUAGGAUUGACGUAAUGAUUAAUAGGGAUAGUUGGGGGCAUUAGUAUUCAAUUGUCAGAGGUGAAAUUCUUGGAUUUAUUGAAGACUGACUACUGCGAAAGCAUUUGCCAAGGAUGUUUUCAUUAAUCAAGAACGAAAGUUAGGGGAUCGAAGACGAUCAGAUACCGUCGUAGUCUUAACCAUAAACUAUGCCGACUAGGGAUCGGAUGAUGUUAAUUUUUUAAUGACUCAUUCGGCGCCUUACG
rnacentral:rRNA from 1 species